ensembl:lncRNA
CAGAAAUAUAAAACUAUAGAAAAUUCACUUACCCUUAGGCCAUCCAAGAUGGAGCCUAUGUGAGUUUGUUUCUUCACCUGAACAGAUUUGGAGAAAUUUAUUCAAAAUGUUCUGAUAGCAACUGAUGAGCAAGUCAUGUAAUGCUAAAUUUCUCCAAAUCUGUUGCAAUUAAGAAAUACACUCAUUUAUAUCUUGGAUGGCCUGAGAGUAAGCAUAAGGCUGCAAAAUAACAACUUGAAAAAAUGAAAACACUUGACAUUUAAAACACUUUCCACUAUAUCACUAUUCAAAAGACAAAUACCAGAAUUCAUGUGCGUGAUAAAAAAAUAAGUUAAUCAGACUGGCUCAGAUGAUGAUGUUCAUUUAUCUUUUCUCUAGUGAUCACAGAUGAUCCAACCCCAGAGGACAGUACGGUUGUUCAGACUGAAGACAACAACAAUUACGAGAGUGAAACAGCGAUAACUAAUUCAACAGUAGUGGUGAUGACCACAGUAGUGUCUCUGUGUGUCCUCAUAUCACUGACCAUCUGUGUCAUUGUGUAUUUCAAAAAACGAAGAUGCAAAAUCGACAGCCAAAGUAAGUCCACAACUUCUGAGUGUGUUGCAAUAAAGAAACUGAAAUACUGUAACUUUGUUAUGAUGAUAAAUUGAUCAGAUGGUAAAGUACUUAUUUUUGUGUCUUGUAGUUGAUUUGAACUGUCAGUCUUCCGUGUAUUAUUCUGACAUUUCAGGAGGUAAGUGAUAUUCAUGGUACAUCCUUAUACAAAAUAUGUGUAAUAUGCUUGAUGAAGUGUGUUUUAUAAAAGUUUGUUUUCUUGCAGUGUUGGAUGUGCCUUUGUAUUCUUUAGUUCAACGUAACACAAACUAUGGCCACAUCUGGUGUGAACAAACAGAAGCUCCUGCCUGUAAUCCAGACAACAUUUAUGACAACAGAAUGCUGUGAAAUAAAUGACUGUUUUGUUGUUGUUGUUUUUUUUUU